CCUACGGGUGGCUGCAGUGAGGAAUAUUGGUCAAUGGACGAGAGUCUGAACCAGCAAAGUAGCGUGAAGGAUGACUGCCCUAUGGGUUGUAAACUUCUUUUAUAUGGGAAUAAAAUGUUCCACGUGUGGGAUUUUGUAUGUACCAUAUGAAUAAGGAUCGGCUAACUCCGUGCCAGCAGCCGCGGUAAUACGGAGGAUCCGAGCGUUAUCCGGAUUUAUUGGGUUUAAAGGGAGCGCAGGUGGAUUGUUAAGUCAGUUGUGAAAGUUUGCGGCUCAACCGUAAAAUUGCAGUUGAAACUGGCAGUCUUGAGUACAGUAGAGGUGGGCGGAAUUCGUGGUGUAGCGGUGAAAUGCUUAGAUAUCACGAAGAACUCCGAUUGCGAAGGCAGUUCACUGGACUGCAACUGACACUGAGGCUCGAAAGUGUGGGUAUCAAACAGGAUUAGAUACCCUAGUAGUC
rnacentral:rRNA from 1 species